ACAUCAUUCCACAGUUCACACCAAUACAUGCCAAGAAUUCUAGCUUUAUUUAUAUCCCACAAUUCAUAUCCACCCAAUUGUGUUAAGCAAAUAUAAGCAGCCUCUGCAGCUUCAGAAUUACAGUCGAUCAUGGCGACCAGUACGGAUGUAAAGCUACUCGGAUCACGGCCUAGUUCAUACGUGAACCGGGUUCGAAUCGCUCUCAACAUCAAGUGUGUCGACUACGAGUUCCUUGAGGAGAAAUUUGGGUCCAAGAGUGAGCUCCUCCUGGUAUCCAACCCUGUUCACAAGAAAAUUCCAGUUUUAAUCCAUGACAACAAGCCCAUAUGUGAGUCCCUUAUCAUUGUCCAGUACAUCGACGAGGUAUGGGCCUCCGGUCCCUCCAUACUUCCUUCUGAUCCCUAUGAUCUUGCCAUUUCCCGCUUUUGGGGAGCCUAUAUUGACGAGAAGUGGUCUCCAUCACUGAGGGAGCUUCGGACGCCACAAGGAGAGGAGGCGAAGGCAGCAGCAGUGGAGCGACUUGUUGAAGGAUUGGCGCUGUUGGAGGAAGCAUUUGUCAAGUGUAGCAAAGGGAAGGCUUUCUUUGGUGGGGAUAGUAUUGGGUACCUUGAUAUAGCGUUCGGGUCCUUCUUGGGGGGGCUAAGGGUGGCGGAGAAAAUAGGCGGCGUGGCAUUGCUUGACGAAGCCAAGACGCCUGGACUGGUGGGAUGGGCUGAGAGGUUCAGCUCAGAUGAUGCUGUGAAGGGUGUUAUUCUAGAGACUGAGAAGCUUAUUGAGUUUUUCAAGAUGCGUCAAGCCAUGGCUAAAGUUGGUCCUACUCCCAAUUGAUCAACAAUGUCGAUUUUCCAAUCACUUAAUAAUUGGGCUGCAAUAUUCAUAGGUCUGUUAUGUUCUAUCAAAAACCGGCUAGUGUAUUCAUAGGGAAUUCUAGUACCUACAACUUCCUUCUGCUUUUGUGUGAAAUGGAAUUUUGCUGCUUGUGGUGGAGUGUCAAGCUGGCCUGCCUUGCAUAAGCGAUAUCCGGGACUUUACGCUAACUAUCUGUGGGAUACCGUGCAAAGUGCCCCCUCCACACGGUUUAGAUAGAGCUCAGGUUUUCACACGCAAGUGUGGCACCAAAGAAUUAUUUGCCAUCAAGGGGGUUCACGAGACAACUGCCGGAGUGACUUACUACUAGAGCCAACCCCUUGGGUUCUCUAGUGUUCUAAUAUCUCUACAUUUAUACAGUGGAAUCUCUUCUCCAACUGAUAUAGACCGGUUUAUAUCAAGCCACGUAAAUCUUGUGCUUAUGUUCGAUAGGUUUAUUUUUAUUUUUAAUUAACUCGGGGUGUUCAGGAUGGCACGAACCCUUAGGACUCCUCAACAACCCGACUAAUCCCCAAAAACCCAAAAGGGCACCUCCCCACCUGGAUCAGGUAAGUCACUGCAGGGGUAACGGAGGUUAGCCACAAAGAACACCUAGCGGGACUCAAACCCUAAACCUUGGGCUUACUAAGCUCCAAAAUCCAGCAAGUAAACCGCUGAGUCAUAUCCGAAGUGGAUUCGAUAGGUUUAUUGCUUUCAUUGAACUCAAUGUUCUAGUGCUUCCACUGUCCCAACAUGAGCAUGUAGUUGUUUUAAGCUAAACUCUUUCUACUUGAGGAGGUAAUCAAGUCGAGUCGAGCAGAGCUAUGGAAUGUUUGAGCUCAACUCGACAAAUGUGAGAAGUGUUCGAGCUCGGCUCGAGU